rnacentral:lncRNA from 10 species
UGAUACAGAGCACCCAUGUGGAGGGGUCACAGAAGGGGCGCUGUGAAAAAACACCAAGACACCAAGACAAACCGAGACACCAAGAACGUUAUAAACUAUGAAAGUCUGGGAGCCUCUGGAUAAGACUCUGCUUGUUUUUGUCUGCAUGCAGCUGAGUCAGAGCUCUCUUCCAAGUGUCACCACUGCCAUUUUCUAAUUUACUCCUGCUUGCCUUAUUAGCGUCAUCUUUGAUCCAGGUUUGCUUUGUGGCAACUCCUUUAACUCACUUGCCCAACAUUUGAGGGUUCAUUUAGCUAAAACGACAAGAUGAUACAGUGGAACGUGGUUGGAGUGCUAGUCAGGGGCCGAUUUCCUUACUGAAUAGCCACGUCAGCAAAUUUCAGACCAACCUGGCUGCUCUAUCAGGCACAGAUUAAUGACAAUAUAAUACAAUAUGCCGGAGGCAAACGAACAACCCGGGCACCACUGCCGACCUCUUGAUUCUCCCACCUUCCCUCAAGACACUAGGAAUUUAAUGUGCUUAUGGCUACUGGACAGACAGAACGAGGCAGGGUGCUGGGGC